rnacentral:rRNA from 1 species
CCUACGGGAGGCAGCAGUGGGGAAUAUUGGACAAUGGGGGGAACCCUGAUCCAGCGACGCCGCGUGAGUGAAGAAGUAUUUCGGUAUGUAAAGCUCUAUCAGCAGGGAAGAAAGAAAUGACGGUACCUGACUAAGAAGCCCCGGCUAACUACGUGCCAGCAGCCGCGGUAAUACGUAGGGGGCAAGCGUUAUCCGGAUUUACUGGGUGUAAAGGGAGCGUAGACGGCGAUGCAAGUCUGAAGUGAAAGGCGGGGGCCCAACCCCCGGACUGCUUUGGACACUGGAUGGCUGGAGUGCAGGGGAGGUAAGUGGAAUUCCUAGUGUAGCGGUGAAAUGCGUAGAUAUUAGGAGGAACACCAGUGGCGAAGGCGGCUUACUGGACUGUAACUGACGUUGAGGCUCGAAAGCGUGGGGAGCAAACAGGAUUAGAUACCCUUGUAGUC